rnacentral:lncRNA from 1 species
UCGCCCAGAUUCUACCCUUCUAUGGUACUCGCCCAGAUCCUACCAUUCUCCAGUACUCGCCUGCAUUCUACCUUUCCCUGUACUAGCCCAAACCCUUUCCCUUUACUCGCCACGAUUCUACACUUCUUCGGUACUCGCCCGAACCUUUUUCCUCUACUCGCCCCGAUUAUACACUUCUCCGGUACUCGCCUGGAUUCUAACUUUACCGGUACUUGCUCGGACCUUUUUUCAGUACUCGCCCGGUUUCUACCCUUCUCAGGUACUACCCUCUAUCUUUUCAAGGUACUCGCUCGGACUCUU